UUGUACCAGAAUCGAAGCCUUCGUUUGGAGUAGGUUCUUAUUUAUCGCAUUAUUUAUUUAUUUUCCGCAUCGCUUUUAUUUUAUUUAUUUUCCGCAUCGCUUUUACUUUAUUUAUUUUCCGCAUCGCUUUUAUUUUAUUUAUUUUCCGCACUCGCUUUAUUUUAUUUAUUUUCCGCACUCGCUUUAUUUUAUUUAUUUC
rnacentral:lncRNA from 1 species